AGUAAUUGACAGAGGUAGUUUAUUAAAUAAUAAACUUGAGAAAUACUCUUCGAACCUGAUCUAGUUAAUACUAGCGUAGGGAGUUCAAAUUAUGAUGAAU
rnacentral:ncRNA from 1 species